CCUACGGGUGGCAGCAGUGGGGAAUAUUGGGCAAUGGGCGCAAGCCUGACCCAGCAACGCCGCGUGAAGGAAGAAGGCUUUCGGGUUGUAAACUUCUUUUCUCAGGGACGUAGAAAGUGACGGUACCUGAGGAAUAAGCCACGGCUAACUACGUGCCAGCAGCCGCGGUAAUACGUAGGUGGCAAGCGUUAUCCGGAUUGAUGGGGUGUAAAGGGCGUGUAGACGGGAGAGCAAGUCAGAUGUGAAAACUCAGGGCUCAACCCUGAGCCUGCAUUUGCAACUGUGUUUCUUGAGUGCUGGAGAGGCAAGCGGAAUUCGGUGUGUAGAGGCGAAAUGCGUAGAUAUACGGAGGAA
rnacentral:rRNA from 1 species